rnacentral:rRNA from 1 species
UACGUAGGGUGCGAGCGUUGUCCGGAAUUAUUGGGCGUAAAGAGCUCGUAGGCGGUGUGUCACGUCGGCCGUGAAAACCUGCAGCUUAACUGUGGGCGUGCGGUCGAUACGGGCAUCACUGGAGUUCGGCAGGGGAGACUGGAAUUCCUGGUGUAGCGGUGAAAUGCGUAGAUAUUGGGAAGAACACCUGAGGCGAAGGCGGCCAUCUGGACGUUCACUGACGCUGAGACGCGAAAGCGUGGGUAGCAAACAGG